UCGAACGAUGAAGCCCAGCUUGCUGGGUGGAUUAGUGGCGAACGGGUGAGUAACACGUGAGUAACCUGCCCCCGACUUUGGGAUAAGCCCGGGAAACUGGGUCUAAUACCGGAUAUGACUUUCCACCGCAUGGUGGGUUGUUGAAAGAUUUAUCGGUGGGGGAUGGACUCGCGGCCUAUCAGCUUGUUGGUGAGGUAAUGGCUCACCAAGGCGACGACGGGUAGCCGGCCUGAGAGGGUGACCGGCCACACUGGGACUGAGACACGGCCCAGACUCCUACGGGAGGCAGCAGUGGGGAAUAUUGCACAAUGGGCGGAAGCCUGAUGCAGCGACGCCGCGUGAGGGAUGACGGCCUUCGGGUUGUAAACCUCUUUCAGUAGGGAAGAAGCGAAAGUGACGGUACCUGCAGAAGAAGCGCCGGCUAACUACGUGCCAGCAGCCGCGGUAAUACGUAGGGCGCAAGCGUUAUCCGGAUUUAUUGGGCGUAAAGAGCUCGUAGGCGGUUUGUCGCGUCUGCCGUGAAAGUCCGAGGCUCAACCUCGGAUCUGCGGUGGGUACGGGCAGACUAGAGUGAUGUAGGGGAGACUGGAAUUCCUGGUGUA
rnacentral:rRNA from 1 species